rnacentral:rRNA from 2 species
GGAUGGAAUCACAUUAUUUUAGCGGCGGACGGGUGAGUAACGCGUGAGCGACCAACCUUGCACAGGGGGAUAACGGACCGAAAGGUUCACUAAUACCGCAUGAGACCACGGUGUUGCAUGACACAGGGGUCAAAGGAGCAAUCCGGUGCAAGACGGGCUCGCGUCCGAUUAGGUAGUUGGAGGGGUAACGGCCCACCAAGCCUAUGAUCGGUAGCCGACCUGAGAGGGUGAUCGGCCACAUUGGAACUGAGAUACGGUCCAAACUCCUACGGGAGGCAGCAGUGGGGAAUAUUGGGCAAUGGGGGAAACCCUGACCCAGCAACGCCGCGUGAAGGAAGAAGGUUUUCGGAUUGUAAACUUCUGUCCUUGGUGAAGAGAAGAAGACGGUAGCCAAGGAGGAAGCCCCGGCUAACUACGUGCCAGCAGCCGCGGUAAUACGUAGGGGGCAAGCGUUGUCCGGAAUGAUUGGGCGUAAAGGGCGCGUAGGCGGCUUUGUAAGUCUUGGAGUGAAAGUCCUCUUUUCCAGGGAGGAAUUGCUUUGGAAACUAUAGAGCUUGAGUG